GCCAGCAGCCAUAUCACCCUGCAACUCUCAGCUGGCAGCCCCACUGAAGCUCAGCAGGUGUGAGCCUGGUCAGUACCUGGAUGGGAGACUCCUGGGAAAAACUAAGGUUGCUGCUGGAA
rnacentral:rRNA from 1 species